CUCAAGUUCUGCUCAAAGGCCAAACUUGUGAAGGUUAAAAACCCACAAUCCAACUGUAGUGUUGGAAGACAGGCUUGCAAAUCUGUUUCUAAAGCUCGGACAUCUAACGAGAUGCCCUUGGCAUGUCUAACAGUUUCACACAACAUCACUGGUCAUUUGAGAGAUGCAGAUGAAAACAACACUGAAAUUUCACCUCACCCCAGAAAGAAUGGCUGCCAUCAAGAAAUCAACCAAUAACAAAUGCUGGCGGGGGUGUGGGUAGAAAGGAAUCCUUCUUCAUUGUUGGUGGGAGUGCAGACUGGUGCCACCACUGUGGAAAUCACCAUGGUAGUACCUCAAACAACUAGGACUAGAGGUCCCAUUUGACUCAGCUAUUCCUCUGCUGGGUAUCUUUGCCA
rnacentral:lncRNA from 1 species